rnacentral:miRNA from 1 species
AACAAGACUGCGUAGACCGAG